rnacentral:rRNA from 1 species
UACGAAGGUGGCAAGCGUUGUUCGGAUUUACUGGGCGUACAGGGAGCGUAGGCGGUUGGAUAAGUCCUCCGUGAAAUCUCCAGGCUUAACCUGGAAAGUGCAGAGGGGACUGUUCAGCUAGAGGAUGGGAGAGGAGCGCGGAAUUCCCGGUGUAGCGGUGAAAUGCGUAGAGAUCGGGAAGAACAUCGGUGGCGAAAGCGCUCUACUGGACCGCAACUGACACUCAGGGACGAAAGCUAGGGGAGCGAAUGGG